CCCUUCGGGGACGCAGAGACAGGUGGUGCAUGGCUGUCGUCAGCUCGUGUCGUGAGAUGUUGGGUUAAGUCCCGCAACGAGCGCAACCCUUGUCUUUAGUUGCCAUCAUUAAGUUGGGCACUCUAAAGAGACUGCCGGUGACAAACCGGAGGAAGGUGGGGAUGACGUCAAGUCAUCAUGCCCCUUAUGACCUGGGCUACACACGUGACAAUGGGCAGUACAACGAGAAGCGAACCCGCGAGGGUAAGCGGAUCUCUUAAAGCUGUUCUCAGUUCGGACUGCAGGCUGCAACUCGCCUGCACGAACGCUGGAAUCGCUAGUAAUCGCGGAUCAGGCACGCCGCGGUGAAUACGUUCCGGGCCUUGUACACCACCGGUCCCUUCACACCAUGGAAGUCUGCA
rnacentral:rRNA from 1 species